UACGUAGGGUGCGAGCGUUAAUCGGAAUUACUGGGCGUAAAGCGUGCGCAGGCGGCGCGUUAAGACAGGUGUGAAAGCCCCGAGCUUAACUUGGGAAUUGCGCUUGUGACUGGCGUGCUGGAGUGUGGCAGAGGGAGGUGGAAUUCCACGUGUAGCAGUGAAAUGCGUAGAGAUGUGGAGGAACACCGAUGGCGAAGGCAGCCUCCUGGGCCAGCACUGACGCUCAUGCACGAAAGCGUG
rnacentral:rRNA from 1 species